UCAGUCGAGACUAACCGCUGAACUUAAGCAUAUCACUAGGCGGAGGAGAAGAAACUAACUAGGAUUCCCUCAGUAGCGGCGAGCGAAGCGGGAGGAGCUCAAGGCACCAAUCCGCGCGCACCGCGCGCGGAGAUUUGGCCUGGAGGGGCGCUGCCCGGGGGCCCCCGGGGCCCAAGUCCCCUGGAACGGGGCGCCAGAGAGGGUGAGAGCCCCGUCCAUGGCCCCGGAGCGAGGCCCCCUUAGAGGCGCGCCCCCGUCGAGUCGGGUUGCUUGGGACUGCAGCCCGAAUGGGGUGGUAUACUUCAUCCAAAGCUAAAUACGGGCAGGAGACCGAUAGCGAACAAGUACCGUGAGGGAAAGAUGAAAAGGACUUUGGGAAGAGGGUGAAACAGUGCUUGAAACCGCUGGGGGGAAAGCGGAUGGGGCC
rnacentral:rRNA from 1 species